AAACAGAAAAGAAGAAAGGAAGAAGAAGGAGAAGGGGGGAAAGGGAGGAAGAGAGAACCUAGGGGGAGCAAGUCUCAACCAUUUUGAGUGAUUCCAAAGCCUAAACCACUCCAAAUCUCCUCCUCUUUCAUAAUCCUUGCUUUGUUUUGAGUGGGGAUCAUUGUGGAGAGGGAUAUUGCCUCUCAAAAAUUUGGCCAUUGGAGAGAUUUUGGAGUUUUGGUGGCUUCUACCUCCAUGGGAGCUUGAGGAGCACUCACAUCAUUGUUGUGCAACCAUUGGUGGAUUGAGACAUUUGGACCAACCGUGAGUGAUCAACCAUUGGAGCAAGCUAUGGAGCUUGAAUAGCUCAUUGGAAUUGGUGUAUAUUUGUAAAAGUGGAUUGCUGAAACUGUUGGUGAAGAACAAAGGUCGACUGAAGCAUUGAGCUUAAUACCAUGGAGCAAUGUGUACCUUGCUGGAUUAUGAUGUUACUGAUGAAGAUCUUUCAAUAAUACUCUUCUUUCCCUUGUCUUGAUGGUGGUUUAAAGAUUUUUAGAUAAAUGACAUUCUCUUGUAGACUUUAUUUCAGCAUCCAGUAAUUGUAUUUUUCUUAUUUUCCCAUUUCUUUGACUCUAUUCCUAUAUGAUAUACAUUCUAGAGCUGAGGUAUUAUGUUGACUCUUUCUUGUU